UACGUAGGGGCCUAGCGUUGUCCGGAAUCAUUGGGCGUAAAGAGCUCGUAGGCGGCUUGUCGCGUCGGAUGUGAAAGCCCGGGGCUUAACUCCGGGUCUGCAUUCGAUACGGGCAGGCUAGAGUUCGGUAGGGGAGAUCGGAAUUCCUGGUGUAGCGGUGAAAUGCGCAGAUAUCAGGAGGAACACCGGUGGCGAAGGCGGGUCUCUGGGCCGUAACUGACGCUGAGGAGCGAAAGCAUGGGGAGCGAACAGG
rnacentral:rRNA from 1 species